UUGCUUCAGCAGCACAGAUACUAAAAUUGGAAUGAUGCAGAGAAGAUUAGCAUAGCCCCUGCAAAAGGAUGACACGCAAAUUCAUGAAGUAGUCCAUAAAAAA
rnacentral:snRNA from 1 species